UACGUAGGGGGCUAGCGUUGUCCGGAUUUAUUGGGCGUAAAGAGCGUGUAGGCGGCCAGAUAGGUCUGCUGUGAAAACUCGAGGCUCAACCUCGAGAUGUCGGCGGAAACCAUUUGGCUAGAGUCCGGAAGAGGAAAGUGGAAUUCCUGGUGUAGCGGUGAAAUGCGCAGAUAUCAGGAAGAACACCCGUGGCGAAGGCGGCUUUCUGGGACGGUACUGACGCUGAAGCGCGAAAGCUAGGGGAGCGAACGGG
rnacentral:rRNA from 1 species